AAAUACCUAUUAUUUUGACUAACCCGUUGGUGCAUUUUGUAAUGACCCCGCUUUCUGCUCCGGGGGUUGUGGGUUAAAUUCCCACCCUGCGUCUGGGUGUAAUAUUUGCAUUUAUAUAUUUAUAUAAGUACUCUUUCUAUGUUUAUUUAU